CCUACGGGAGGCAGCAGUGGGGAAUCUUGCGCAAUGGGCGAAAGCCUGACGCAGCCAUGCCGCGUGAAUGAUGAAGGUCUUAGGAUUGUAAAAUUCUUUCACCGAGGACGAUAAUGACGGUACUCGGAGAAGAAGCCCCGGCUAACUUCGUGCCAGCAGCCGCGGUAAUACGAAGGGGGCUAGCGUUGCUCGGAAUUACUGGGCGUAAAGGGAGCGUAGGCGGAUAGUUUAGUCAGAGGUGAAAGCCCAGGGCUCAACCUUGGAAUUGCCUUUGAUACUGGCUAUCUUGAGUACGGAAGAGGUAUGUGGAACUCCGAGUGUAGAGGUGAAAUUCGUAGAUAUUCGGAAGAACACCAGUGGCGAAGGCGACAUACUGGUCCGUUACUGACGCUGAGGCUCGAAAGCGUGGGGAGCAAACAGGAUUAGAUACCCUGGUAGUCCACGCUGUAAACGAUGAGUGCUAGUUGUCGGCAUGCAUGCAUGUCGGUGACGCAGCUACGACAUAAGUACGACUCCGCCGUCGGGAGGUACGGUCGCGAGAAGUUAAAACUAACGAAGGAAGUUAGACGGCGUGAGACGUGCCGACGGACGACGACGAGGGAGGAGG
rnacentral:rRNA from 1 species